rnacentral:rRNA from 1 species
AGUGUGGACGCCAGUCUGCAUGGAGCCGACCUUGAAAUACCACCCUUUAAUGUUUGAUGUUCUAACGUUGACCCGUAAUCCGGGUUGCGGACAGUGUCUGGUGGGUAGUUUGACUGGGGCGGUCUCCUCCUAAAGAGUAACGGAGGAGCACGAAGGUUGGCUAAUCCUGGUCGGACAUCAGGAGGUUAGUGCAAUGGCAUAAGCCAGCUUGACUGCGAGCGUGACGGCGCGAGCAGGUGCGAAAGCAGGUCAUAGUGAUCCGGUGGUUCUGAAUGGAAGGGCCAUCGCUCAACGGAUAAAAGGUACUCCGGGGAUAACAGGCUGAUACCGCCCAAGAGUUCAUAUCGACGGCGGUGUUUGGCACCUCGAUGUCGGCUCAUCACAUCCUGGGGCUGAAGUAGGUCCCAAGGGUAUGGCUGUUCGCCAUUUAAAGUGGUACGCGAGCUGGGUUUAGAACGUCGUGAGACAGUUCGGUCCCUAUCUGCCGUGGGCGCUGGAGAACUGAGGGGGGCUGCUCCUAGUACGAGAGGACCGGAGUGGACGCAUCACUGGUGUUCGGGUUGUCAUGCCAAUGGCACUGCCCGGUAGCUAAAUGCGGAAGAGAUAAGUGCUGAAAGCAUCUAAGCACGAAACUUGCCCCGAGAUGAGUUCUCCCUGACUCCUUGAGAGUCCUGAAGGAACGUUGAAGACGACGACGUUGAUAGGCCGGGUGUGUAAGCGCAGCGAUGCGUUGAGCUAACCGGUACUAAUGAACCGUGAGGCUUAACCUUACAACGCCGAAGGUGUUU